rnacentral:tRNA from 1 species
AGCUCAAUUGGUAGAGCAACUGACUUGUAAUCAGUAGGUUGGGGGUUCAAGUCCUCUA